rnacentral:rRNA from 1 species
UACGUAGGUGGCGAGCGUUGUCCGGAUUUAUUGGGCGUAAAGCGCGUGCAGGCGGUUCGUUAAGUCCGGUGUGAAAGCUCCCGGCUCAACUGGGAGAGGUCACUGGAUACUGGCGGACUCGAGGGAGGCAGAGGAAGGUGGAAUUCCCGGUGUAGUGGUGAAAUGCGUAGAGAUCAGGCAGAACACCUGGGGCGAAGGCGGCCAGCUGGGCCGUCCCUGACGCUGAGGCGCGAAGGCGUGGGGAGCGAACGGG